rnacentral:rRNA from 1 species
AUGGAUGUGAAUUUUGUUGGUAGGAAUAGUUUUGGAAACAAUGCUUAUAGAGGAAACUUUAAUGCUAGACCGUUCCCUAGUAAUUCCACUAAUAAUUAUGGAAAUUCCUACAAUAAUUCUUAUGGUAAUUAUAAUAAGAUGCCCUCUGAUUUUGAAAAUAGUGUGAAAGAAUUUAUGAUUUCUCAAAAGAAUUUUAAUGCUUUGCUUGAAGAAAAAUUGCUCAAAGUUGAUGAUUUGGCUAGGAACGUUGAUAGACUUUCACUUGAUGUUGAUUCUCUCAAACUUAGAUCUUCUCCUCCUAAGCAUGAUAUCAAUGAGUCUCUCAAAGCAAUGAGAAUUUCCAUUGACGAGUGCAAGGAAAGAACCGCUAGAUUGCGUGCUAAGAAAGAUAGCUUUAUUGAUGUGUCCCCUAUUAGAUCUAUGUUUUUCAAUAUGAAUUUUGAUGAUUAUGGGACUGGUGAUGAAUCAACUUUUCCUAGACGGCGUCCCAAGAAUUCAGAGUUUUUAAAUCUUGAUGCUAAAUUUGGUAAAAGUGGGAUUGGAGAGGUCAUGACUUUAAAUAGCAUUGAACCCACUAUCUCGGAUUUCAAGGAAUUUGAUUAUGAUAAUUGUUCUUUAGAAAGUUGUAUUUCCUUGUUGCAAUCCGUUGUUAAUUCUCCACAUGCUUAUAGUCAAAAUAAAGCUUUUACCAAACAUAUCGUUGAUGCCUUGUUGCAAUCUUAUUAUGAAAAACUUAAUUUGGAAGUUUAUAUACCUAGAAAGCUUAAUGAUAAGUGGGAACCUACUAUAAAGAUUAGAAUUAAAGAUCACAAGUGUUUUGCUUUGUGUGAUUUGGGUCCUAGUGUUUCCACGAUUCCGAAAACUUUAUGUGAUAUUCUAGGCUUCCAUGAUCUUGAUGAUUGCUCUUUAAAUUUGCACCUUGCGGAUUCCACCAUUAAAAACCAAAUGGGGAGGAUCAAUGAUGUUCUAAUUGUUGCAAAUAGAAAUUUGGUACCCGUUGAUUUUAUCGUUCUUGAUAUAGAUUGCAAUCUUUCUUGCCCUAUUAUUCUUGGUAGACCUUUCCUUAGAACGAUUGGCGCGAUUAUUGAUAUGAAGGAAGAGAAUAUUAGAUUCCAAUUUCCAUUAAAGAAAGGCAUGGAGCACUUUCCAAGAAAUAAAGUCAAAUUACCUUAUGAAUCUAUCAUGCGGGCUACUUAUGAAUCAAGUACCAAAGAUGGCACUCGUUAG